rnacentral:rRNA from 1 species
ACGGCUCAGUAACACGUAGUUAACCUAACCUAUGGAUGGGGAUAACCUCGGGAAACUGAGAAUAAUCCCCGAUAGAUCACAAUGCCUGGAAUGGUUUGUGGUUGAAAUGAUUUAUCGCCGUAGGAUGGGACUGCGGCCUAUCAGCUAGUUGGUGAGGUAAUGGCCCACCAAGGCUAUAACAGGUACGGGCUCUGAGAGGAGGGGCCCGGAGAUGGGUACUGAGACACGGACCCAGGCCCUAUGGGGCGCAGCAGGCGAGAAACCUUUGCAAUGUGCGAAAGCACGACAAGGUUAAUCCGAGUGUCUUCUGCUAAAGAAGUCUUUUGUUAGUCAUAGAACCACUGAUGAAUAAGGGGUGGGCAAGUUCUGGUGUCAGCCGCCGCGGUAAAACCAGCACCUCGAGUGGUCAGGAGGUUUAUUGGGCCUAAAGCAUCCGUAGCCGGUUGUUUAAGUUUUCGGUUAAAUCUAUGCGCUUAACGUAUAGGCUGCCGAAAAUACUGGACAGCUAGGGAGUGGGAGAGGUACACGGUACUCAAUAGGAAGGGGUAAAAUCCUUUGAUCUGUUGAUGACCACCUGUGGCGAAGGCGGUGUACCAGAACACGUUCGACGGUGAGGGAUGAAAGCUGGGGGAGCAAACCGGAUUAGAUACCCGGGUAGUCCCAGCUGUAAACGAUGCAGACUCGUGGAUGGGGGUGGGCUUUGCGCCAACCCAGUGCCGCAGGGAAGCCGUUAAGUCUGCCGCCUGGGGAGUACGGUCGCAAGACUGAAACUUAAAGGAAUUGGCGGGGGAG